rnacentral:rRNA from 1 species
ACGCGAAAUUUCCCUUCGGGGAGAAAGUAGAGUGGCGCACGGGUGAGUAACACGUAGGUAAUCUACCUUUGGAUGGGGAAUAACCCAGAGAAAUCUGGGCUAAUACCGCAUAAUGCAGCGGCACCUAAUGGUGACAGUUGUUAAAGCGGGGGAUCGUAAGACCUCGCGUCUAAAGAGGAGCCUGCGGCGGAUUAGCUAGUUGGUAAGGUAACGGCUUACCAAGGCUACGAUCCGUAACCGGCCUGAGAGGGCGGUCGGUCACACUGACACUGACAUACGGGUCAGACUCCUACGGGAGGCAGCAGUCGGGAAUUUUGGGCAAUGGGCGAAAGCCUGACCCAGCAACGCCGCGUGAAGGAUGAAAUCCCUCGGGAUGUAAACUUCGCAAGAACGGGAAGAAUAAGUAGGGGACAAUACCCCCUAUGAUGACGGUACCGUUUGUAAGCUCCGGCUAACUCCGUGCCAGCAGCCGCGGUAAUACGGGGGGAGCAAGCGUUGUUCGGAUUUACUGGGCGUAAAGGGCGCGUAGGCGGUCAGCACAAGUCAGUUGUGAAAUCUCCGAGCUUAACUCGGAAAGGUCAACUGAUACUGUGCGACUAGAGUGCAGAAGGGGCAACUGGAAUUCUCGGUGUAGCGGUGAAAUGCGUAGAUAUCGAGAGGAACACCUGCGGCGAAGGCGGGUUGCUGGGCUGACACUGACGCUGAGGCGCGAAAGCUAGGGGAGCGAACGGGAUUAGAUACCCCGGUAGUCCUAGCCUUAAACGAUGAAUGCUUGGUGUCUGGGGUUAUAUAGUCCCCGGGUGCCGUCGCUAACGCUUUAAGCAUUCCGCCUGGGGAGUACGGUCGCAAGACUGAAACUCAAAGGAAUUGACGGGGACCCGCACAAGCGGUGGA